AAUGGGUCAGCGACUUAUAUUCUGUAGCAAGGUUAACCGAAUAGGGGAGCCGAAGGGAAACCGAGUCUUAACUGGGCGUUAAGUUGCAGGGUAUAGACCCGAAACCCGGUGAUCUAGCCAUGGGCAGGUUGAAGGUUGGGUAACACUAACUGGAGGACCGAACCGACUAAUGUUGAAAAAUUAGCGGAUGACUUGUGGCUGGGGGUGAAAGGCCAAUCAAACCGGGAGAUAGCUGGUUCUCCCCGAAAGCUAUUUAGGUAGCGCCUCGUGAAUUCAUCUCCGGGGGUAGAGCACUGUUUCGGCAAGGGGGUCAUCCCGACUUACCAACCCGAUGCAAACUGCGAAUACCGGAGAAUGUUAUCACGGGAGACACACGGCGGGUGCUAACGUCCGUCGUGAAGAGGGAAACAACCCAGACCGCCAGCUAAGGUCCCAAAGUCAUGGUUAAGUGGGAAACGAUGUGGGAAGGCCCAGACAGCCAGGAUGUUGGCUUAGAAGCAGCCAUCAUUUAAAGAAAGCGUAAUAGCUCACUGGUCGAGUCGGCCUGCGCGGAAGAUGUAACGGGGCUAAACCAUGCACCGAAGCUGCGGCAGCGACACUAAGUGUUGUUGGGUAGGGGAGCGUUCUGUAAGCCUGUGAAGGUGUACUGUGAGGUAUGCUGGAGGUAUCAGAAGUGCGAAUGCUGACAUAAGUAACGAUAAAGCGGGUGAAAAGCCCGCUCGCCGGAAGACCAAGGGUUCCUGUCCAACGUUAAUCGGGGCAGGGUGAGUCGACCCCUAAGGCGAGGCCGAAAGGCGUAGUCGAUGGGAAACAGGUUAAUAUUCCUGUACUUGGUGUUACUGCGAAGGGGGGACGGAGAAGGCUAUGUUGGCCGGGCGACGGUUGUCCCGGUUUAAGCGUGUAGGCUGGUUUUCCAGGCAAAUCCGGAAAAUCAAGGCUGAGGCGUGAUGACGAGGCACUACGGUGCUGAAGCAACAAAUGCCCUGCUUCCAGGAAAAGCCUCUAAGCAUCAGGUAACAUCAAAUCGUACCCCAAACCGACACAGGUGGUCAGGUAGAGAAUACCAAGGCGCUUGAGAGAACUCGGGUGAAGGAACUAGGCAAAAUGGUGCCGUAACUUCGGGAGAAGGCACGCUGAUAUGUAGGUGAAGCGACUUGCUCGUGGAGCUGAAAUCAGUCGAAGAUACCAGCUGGCUGCAACUGUUUAUUAAAAACACAGCA
rnacentral:rRNA from 1 species